rnacentral:rRNA from 1 species
GUGCCAGCAGCCUGCGGUAAUUCCAGCUCCAAUAGCGUAUAUUAAAGUUGUUGUGGUUAAAAAGCUCGUAGUUGAACCUUGGGCCUGGCUGGCCGGUCCGCCUCACCGCGUGCACUGGUCCGGCCGGGCCUUUCCCUCUGUGGAACCCCAUACCCUUCACUGGGCGUGGCGGGGAAACAGGACAUUUACUUUGAAAAAAUUAGAGUGCUCCAGGCAGGCCUAUGCUCGAAUACAUUAGCAUGGAAUAAUAAAAUAGGACGCGCGGUUCUAUUUUGUUGGUUUAUAGGACCGCCGUAAUGAUUAAUAGGGACAGUCGGGGGCAUCAGUAUUCAACUGUCAGAGGUGAAAUUCUUGGAUCAGUUGAAGACUAACUACUGCGAAAGCAUUUGCCAAGGAUGUUUUCAUUAAUCAGGAACGAAAGUUAGGGGGAUCGAAGACGAUCAGAUACCGUCGUAGUCUUAACCAUAAACUAUGCCGACUAGGGAUCGGACGGUGUUAUUCAUGACCCGUUCGGCACCUUACGAGAAAUCAAAGUGCUUGGGCUCCAGGGGGGAGUAUGGUCGCAAGGCUGAAACUUAAAAGAAAUUGACGGAAGGGCACCACCAAGGGUGGGAGCCUGCGGCUUUAUGUUGACUCAACACGGGGAAACUUCACCAGGUCCAGACCACAAUAAGGGAUUGACAGAUUGAGAGCUCUUUCCUGAUUUUGUGGGUGAUAGGUGCAUGGCCGUUCUUAGUUGGUGGGGUGACUUGUCUGCCUUAAUUGCGAUAACCGAACGAGAACCUAAAACUGCUUAAUAAGCCGCAUUGGCUCCCGGGCGGUGCCGUGGGCUUCUAAAGAGAACUUA